AAGUUUCUAUCCUUGGACCAAUAUGAAGAAUUUUCUAAUAUUGCAAGUUAAAUAUAUUUAUAUAUAUAUAUCAUCUUCACCUUCAAAAAACAAGAAGCUUGGCUAUCUCCUUGAGUUGUGUAUAGACGAAAAGCCUCGAAGAAAAUACAGUGCUAGCUGAAGAAGAAAGCCAGACAUAGAGUUUUUGCUUCUCAGGUGACAAUUCUUUCUUAGAUUUUGUGUGUGUGUAUAUAUAUAUUUUUUUUUUCUUGUUUUGUUGUCUCUUCUUAAUUAUAGGAUUCUGAUUAAGCACUUUCAAAGAUUAGUUGGAAAUCAAAAUUACUCUAAAAUGGUUGAAAAUUUUGGCUAACGUGUAUACCUCGUACGUGAAGAAAAUGACCUAAAAACUCCAGAUAUCCUUCUCCUUUAUGAAUAAGUCUGAAAAUAUUUUUUUCUUACCUGAAUAGGAGUUUAGAUUCUAAAUUCCUUUUUGUUUUUUUGGUAACUCCCUCUUUCCCCUCUCCCUUCCUAUGAUCUCUUGUUAGCUAUCUUUCAAGAUUUUAUUAUAAUGUGUAUGCAUACGUGAAAGAGAUUUGUACUUAGAGUCUAAUAUUUUCGAUGUUUCAUAUUAUGUGUUAUUAUUUUUUAUAUAUGUUUUAAAAAAAUAGUUUUUAUAUUUGAAAACUUUUAAUUUUUUACUGUAUUCUUAAUAGCAUAUUUUAUUAGCUACUGAUAUCGAGUAUAGACUCGGCUACAUAAAUUAAUACAGAUAUAAUAUUUGGUUAUCUUUUUGCGUUGGGCGUGAGGUGGGAUGGGAUUGUGUGGACAGUGGGGGUAGGGUAGUGUAGUAGUAUCGGUCCUAUUAGUAGUUAGGUGGAGGAAGUAGAAGAAAUGAAUGAUGCUACAAUUUCAUUUUCCUUUCUUUACUUUCUUCUUUUUCUUCUCUGGCCUUUAUUGUUCAGAACGGCGGAUAUGUUGUAACAUAUUCAUAAUUGGUUUUCCAUCAACAACAACAAUAACAUAUAUAUUCAAAAUUAUCUCAUACUGUAAGGUAAAAAAUACUCUGUUAUGCAGACCUUAUCUUUAUUUUAUGAGGAUAGAAAUAUUGUUUCCAAAAAAUCCUCGGCUCAGGAAAUAUUUGGUUUUUCAAUUGUAGCUUAUUCUAACAAUAGUAUGAGAAUUAUUAUAAUAUAUAUUUUUAAUUUGUAUUAAGAAUGAUCAUAUCAUUAUUCUUAUAUAUAAGAAAUACUUCAAAUAAUAUUUACAAACCCAGUUUAGUAAUUAAUUCUCAAGUGACGUGCUCCAUCUCUUUUUUUUUCUCUCUUUUUGUUUGUCUGCGUGUGUUUCUUGAAGUAAAAGUCAAAUUAAUUAGUAUUUGUCGCAAUAAAUAGUUAAUUGGCAGUUGACAGGUUAGAGGUUAGAAGAUGGAAUGGAUGCAAAGGAGGAAAGUGGGGUUAUCCCUGCUACUGGUUGUUAUCCUCAUUUCCUUCAACUUAAGUAGUCUUGAUGGACAAAUAAUUAAACCAGG
rnacentral:lncRNA from 1 species